rnacentral:lncRNA from 1 species
CUCAUUUACUUGAAUCGUUCACAUUUAGUGCCAAAAAGAAAUUAAAUAAAAGGCAUAUCUCAGGAAAAAGACUCUAAGAUACUGUAUUGUCUUUCCACGAUUAACCACAUGACCAAGAUACUAAAAGGAUCUUGAAAUUAAGAAUUUAUGAUAAUGGAGCAAAACAAAUCUAAUAAACAUACAUUUCAAGAACAAAAAUCUAAGGGGGGAAAAACUAAACUCCAGAUGAAUUUUUAUUGUAUAUUGUCCUGAAAUUAUCAUCCACUAAGCACAAAAAAAUUACCUUGAAAAAUAUAAAUAGAAUGCUCUCUCAAAAUGAGCUGUCCCAACCUGUUCGUCCAUAUUGAGUCCAAAUUGCUAUGACCUAUAUGUGCAAAAGCUUCCUCAUGAUGAGGCGGUGGUAGGGGAGGUGGAACGCCAUUGUGGUUUGCAUCGCCGGCAUCGAAAUUUGGGUUUGAAAUAUCCAGUUUUGGGGUAGACGAAAUUUGCUAUGAAUUUGGAUUUUCAGCUUUGUUUGAUGUUAUAAAUACAUCAUUAGGAGUGUAAUUAGGUGCUUGGUCGACCUGGAUGAUGGGCAUAGUCUGGGAGUCGCCGGAAGUGGAGAUUCCGGCCAUUUUUAAGUGCGUCGGCAGGCUUUUUUGGGCGAUUUUCACUAGAUUUCCACCAGAGUUAAGGCCAGUGAUUGGGUGGGUAGUGAAGAGGGAAGUGUGGGCUUCAAGUUGGUAUGAAGAUCCGGCGGCCAUGGUGGCCGGAGAUUGGAUUAUUGGGAUCCAUAGUUGGUGGCUCAAAAAUCCCAAAAGACAGAAGAGUUAGGAAAUGAAAUAGAGGGAGGGCGGCAGUUUAUUUUUGGAGGAAAUGAAAUAUUUGAG